UCUCUCAAUCGCCGAAUCACUCCUUCUAC
rnacentral:sRNA from 1 species